GUCUAUGGCCAUGCUACCCUGAACAAGCCCGAUCUUGUCUGAUCUCGGAAGCUAAGCAGGGUCGGGCCUGGUUAGUACUUGGAUGGGAGAC
rnacentral:rRNA from 1 species